rnacentral:rRNA from 1 species
GWAMUUCGUGURACGAUGGGGAGCGUUCCAUUAGAUAGUAGGCGGGGUAACGGCCCACCUAGUCAACGAUGGAUAGGGGUUCUGAGAGGAAGGUCCCCCACAUUGGAACUGAGACACGGUCCAAACUCCUACGGGAGGCAGCAGUGAGGAAUAUUGGUCAAUGGGCGAUGGCCUGAACCAGCCAAGUAGCGUGAAGGAUGACUGCCCUAUGGGUUGUAAACUUCUUUUAUAAAGGAAUAAAGUCGGGUAUGCAUACCCGUUUGCAUGUACUUUAUGAAUAAGGAUCGGCUAACUCCGUGCCAGCAGCCGCGGUAAUACGGAGGAUCCGAGCGUUAUCCGGAUUUAUUGGGUUUAAAGGGAGCGUAGAUGGAUGUUUAAGUCAGUUGUGAAAGUUUGCGGCUCAACCGUAAAAUUGCAGUUGAUACUGGAUGUCUUGAGUGCAGUUGAGGCAGGCGGAAUUCGUGGUGUAGCGGUGAAAUGCUUAKAUAUCACGRAGAACUCCGAUUAAAAGA